CGGAAAGAAAAGGCUUUCAGCUGCACACCCUCUUCCAAAGCCACUAUUUGCUCUCAACUAAGGUCUCUCCUAAAACAUGUUUUAUUGGUUGAAUUUCAUUUCUUCCUUGCCUAUGUUGUCACGUCUGUCGUUUCUAGCUGAGUUCCAUCCACUUCCCCAGAUGCAACGUGUGUUCUAUGCCCUCUGAAGCACAGCAGUGACAAGUUAGCUCAGAAUUACCACGUCAGGACCACACAGGCACGCAGCCCUGGGAAUGCAUCUUCACAGCAACCAUAGUAGCGCGGAUGUCAGCAGUCACACACAGGUGGACAAGGCAGACACAAGAAGCGCUGGAUAAGGAGAAGCAUCCCACUAACAAGCUACUGGACACACAGCCGCGGAGAAAUCAGCACGAAGGGCACUAGGACACCAGCACAAAACCAAGAGAGGCUUAACGACGAGCCCACUCAAAAGCGAGCAAAGAAAGAAAGUUUCCCUGGGAUUAUUAUUGUUAUUACAAGAAAUGCAGCGGUUUUCUGUCCCGGCCGCCCCGCACGGCGCGGCGCAGCGCGGAGCUCACCUGGCGCCGGCGCGGGGCUCCCUGCGGCAGUGCCCGGGGCACAGCGGCGGCUGCGGGACGGGCGCGGCCACCUGCGCCGCUCUCAGCCGCUAACCGCUCUUACACCGGCGGCAGCCGCCGCUCACGGCGCCGUCCCGGGAAGAGAAGGUAGAGAUAACGUCCCAACGGAUCGAAUCGACUUUCUGCUGUUGCAACCGCUGUUAAUUACCCUCCGAACGGCACAUCGCACGGCGAUCCUCUACAGACACCGGGCGCGGAGACGGCGAGACGCCCAUAAACAGCCCGCCCGCCGCUCAAAAAAAGCCGCUCGGCGCUUAUGGAAGUCGCCCCCUCCCGUCCCGCACUUACAGGUCCCUGAUUCUCUACAAAGAGAAAAGGAAAAACACCUGCCAGUUUGAUCUCAACUGGAUAAGCUCGUAAGCAACCUGAGCUGAAAUUGAGCCUGCCAUGAGCUGAAGAUUGAAUCAGAUCUCUUGCGUGAGCCUUUCCUCUAUCCAACAUACAGUGUUGUAUUUCAAUACUAAACACAUGUAGUAUAUGAAAGGAACAUUAAAGUUAUGAAAAAGAGUUUGUAUAAUACAGCCUUUAGCACAAUGUUCAUCUUGAAUGGUCUUUUAUAUUCCAAGGUAGAAAAUGUCAUUCUGUCUGUGUAAAGAGAGGGUCCUGGAUCCACUUCCUGCAUUUCAAUUCUUUGCUUAACAGCAGGCCUUAGCAAAGAGAGAGAAGUAUAAUACAGACACAGAGUACAAGCCUGCAGAUUGGUGAAUUCCUCAGUCAUUAGUGAAAAUGCUUUCCUGUUCCCUGCACCAACUGAUUAAUAAAGCUGAGGAAAAUCACA
rnacentral:lncRNA from 1 species